GACGAACGCUGGCGGCGUGCCUAAUACAUGCAAGUCGAGCGAGCGGAACCAACAGAUUUACUUCGGUAAUGACGUUGGGAAAGCGAGCGGCGGAUGGGUGAGUAACACGUGGGGAACCUGCCCCUAAGUCUGGGAUACCAUUUGGAAACAGGUGCUAAUACCGGAUAAUAAAGCAGAUCGCAUGAUCAGCUUUUGAAAGGCGGCGUAAGCUGUCGCUAAGGGAUGGCCCCGCGGUGCAUUAGCUAGUUGGUAAGGUAACGGCUUACCAAGGCGACGAUGCAUAGCCGAGUUGAGAGACUGAGCGGCCACAUUGGGACUGAGACACGGCCCAAACUCCUACGGGAGGCAGCAGUAGGGAAUCUUCCACAAUGGACGCAAGUCUGAUGGAGCAACGCCGCGUGAGUGAAGAAGAUUUUCGGAUCGUAAAGCUCUGUUGUUGGUGAAGAAGGAUAGAGGUAGUAACUGGCCUUUAUUUGACGGUAAUCAACCAGAAAGUCACGGCUAACUACGUGCCAGCAGCCGCCGUAAUAC
rnacentral:rRNA from 1 species